rnacentral:lncRNA from 1 species
CGAUGUUUUUCCACAUAAUUUUUCUAUUUUAUUUUUUUAUUUUUCAAAAUUAUAUUUGUUGAUUUUUUUUAAUAUGGAGCUGAUUGAGAAUUUAGUUUUGUAAUUUUUUUUCUUUUAAACAUCGUUGAUUGCUACAGUGUUUCUCCGCAUGGUUUUUUUUAUAAUUUUCUCUGAAAUUAUCUUUUUUUAUUUUAUUUUUUAAUAUUGAACUGAUUAAAAAUUACAGUUACAAUACGUGAGGAAAACACUGUAACUUUCCUCGAAAAUUACUGUUGAUUGCUACAAUGUUUUUUCUCACAUGGUUUUUUUCUGUUUUUUUAAUGUUUUUUCCUAAAAUUAUCUUUGUCAAUUUUUUUUUUUUAAUAUUAAGCUGGUUAAGAAUUGCAAUU